AGUGAACGCUGGCGGCAGGCCUAAUACAUGCAAGUCGAACGGCAGCACAGCAGAGCUUGCUCUGUGGGUGGCGAGUGGCGGACGGGUGAGGAAUACGUGGGAAUCUGCCCAGUCGUGGGGGAUAACGUAGGGAAACUUACGCUAAUACCGCAUGCGCCCUUCGGGGGAAAGCGGGGGACCUUCGGGCCUGGCGCGAUUGGAUGAGCCCACGUGGGAUUAGCUAGUUGGCGGGGUAAAGGCCCACCAAGGCGACGAUCCGUAGCUGGUCUGAGAGGAUGAUCAGCCACACUGGAACUGAGACACGGUCCAGACUCCUACGGGAGGCAGCAGUAGGGAAUAUUGGACAAUGGGCGCAAGCCUGAUCCAGCCAUGCCGCGUGAGUGAAGAAGGCCCUCGGGUUGUAAAGCUCUUUUGUCCGGAAAGAAAAGCGCCGGGUUAAUACCCUGGUGUCCUGACGGUACCGGAAGAAUAAGCACCGGCUAACUUCGUGCCAGCCGCCGCCGUAACAC
rnacentral:rRNA from 1 species